rnacentral:misc_RNA from 1 species
AAAAAAAAAAAAAAAAACACAAAUGCAAUUGUGGGAGGGUGGGAGAGAGAUGGCGCAGAUGUCAAUGAUGAAACUAAUAUUUCAUGGAUAGUUAAGUACGGGUUGAUUUGUACUGGAUAAUGGGUAGAAUGAUUCUAUGUUCUCUGAUUCAUUACUGCUAUUCUAGAAUCAUAAUCGUGCUAGCUUUACCAAUCGAUAUGACUGUUAGAGUCCUAUCCUAUUCUGGUCAAUGUGGUUCUAUGUUAUGUAUCAGCUGAUUUUGGCAGGCAGAGAUGAAGCAGAAGUAGGAGGCAGAUACUUUUGUCUUCAACACGCAUGUGCCUUAAAUGCCCUCCUCAUCCCUUGUUUUGGAUCCUCUUCUGUUCUUUCCCCUCUUUCCUUGCCAUCCUGGUGGCUCUAUUUUUGGGUUACCUAUAUUUCUUUCUUUGUUUUUCUUUUUCAAUAACAAAAAUAUUGAAAGGGCUUUCUUGGCAUCCAUAAGUGUUGUUUCUAGGUAGACAUGGGCCCGGUCCGGGUUUGGAUGGGAACCACCCUAGUCAAAAUUGGACUAGACAAACCCAUCUUGAAAUGGACUGGAUUGAUUUUUACUGAUUCGGUCCGGUUCUUGGGUCAAAGCUAGAUUUUCAUUUUUUUUAAAAAUAAUUUUCUUUUUUUAAAAAAUUUGACUGUCGGAUUUGAUCAAACUGGAUUGAACAAAACCGAAACCAAGCUGAAUCAGGAAUAGAAUCUAGGGGAACCCUUAGGUUUGCUCCUGGGUCCCUAUCCCUUAAGGCCAGAACCACCAGUCCGGUUUCAGCCUAGAACCGGACCGCGCCCAUGCUUAUUUCUUGGUUCGGGUUUUUUAAACAAGUUCUCAAAGUCAUGUCUCAACUCUCAAAGA